rnacentral:rRNA from 1 species
CGAGUGGCGGACGGGUGAGUAAUGUCUGGGAAACUGCCUGAUGGGAGGGGGAUAACUACUGGAAACGGUAGCUAAUACCGCAUAACGUCGAAAGACCAAAGAGGGGGACCUUCGGGCCUCUUGCCAUCGGAUGUGCCCAGAUGGGAUUAGCUUGUUGGUGGGGUAAUGGCUCACCAAGGCGACGAUCCCUAGCUGGUCUGAGAGGAUGACCAGCCACACUGGAACUGAGACACGGUCCAGACUCCUACGGGAGGCAGCAUG